GCCGCCGGCCCGGCCCCGCCCACCCGCCCUGGCCGCGCGGAUCUUCCGGCUUCGCAGGCUGGGGCGGCCCCGGGCUUUGAACUCCUCCUUCUGCGGGCGGGAGCAACCAGAGUUACCGGAGUAGUCCAGUUCUGAGAUGGAGUGAUUUUUCCAUCCUCAGAUCACCAAAACUCCACAGGAAAGGGGAAGUUGCAGGACCAUGUACUGAGGCAUCUUCUGCUGCUUUCCCAGGCGCCUAAGCAAAGAGGCCGACUGGAGGAGGAGCAGCUGGGAUCUUCCCACGUGGGAUGCUGGCACCACAACGAAUGGUUUGUCUUGCUGUGCC